CACCGGCUGGCUAGGUCACUCUGAGAAAAAGAAUUCAGGAUGGGUACUAACUAGGAGAAGAAAGGAAACCAGCCAGAAUGGGGGAAAGACGAGGAACAGGUCAAUGGUAGAGGAGCCAAGAGAGGGUCUCCUUGAAUGGCCUGGAGUUCAUUAUGUACACCAAACUGUCUUCAAGAUCACGAAGAUCUACUCGCUUCUGCUUCCCAUGUGCUGGGAUUUAAGGUGUGUACUGUACCUGGCUGGAAUAUGAUAGAAACAGAGCCCUCAUCCAGUGGUUGAUGGAAGCAGAGGCAGACACCCACAGAUAUACACUGAACUGAACUCUGGAACCUAGUUGCAGAGAGGGAAGAAUGAAGAUCAAAGGGCUCAGUACCAGGCUGGUGAAACCACAGAAACAGCUGGCCUGAACAAGGGGGAGCACAUGGACCCCAGACUUCUGUCUGGGAGGCAAGCACAGGACUGAUGCAGACUCCUGAACAUGGAUGUCAAUGAGGAGGCCUCUGUACUUUAGGGGGCCCCUGGAAGUGGAUUACUAUUUUUCCCUGGUGUAAGAAGGGACUUUGAGAGCCCAUCCCAAGCCUCUGCCUGAACACAUGGGGGAGGGCCUAGGUCCGGCCCAGGAUGGGUGGUAGACUUUG
rnacentral:lncRNA from 1 species